CGUAGGGUGCAAGCGUUAAUCGGAAUUACUGGGCGUAAAGCGUGCGCAGGCGGUUUUUGUAAGUCUGAUGUGAAAUCCCCCGGGGCUCAACCUGGGGAAUUGCAUUGGAGACUGCAAGGCUAGAAUCUGGCAGAGGGGGGGUAGAAUUCCACGUGUAGCAGUGAAAUGCGUAGAUAUGUGGAGGAACACCGAUGGCGAAGGCAGCCCCCUGGGUCAAGAUUGACGCUCAUGCACGAAAGCGUGGGAGCAAACAGGAUU
rnacentral:rRNA from 1 species